rnacentral:rRNA from 1 species
UACGUAGGGUGCGAGCGUUAAUCGGAAUUACUGGGCGUAAAGGGCUCGUAGGUGGCCAACUAAGUCGGACGUGAAAUCCCUCAGCUUAACUGGGGAACUGCGUCCGAUACUGGAUGGCUCGAGUUUGGGAGAGGGAUGCGGAAUUCCAGGUGUAGCGGUGAAAUGCGUAGAUAUCUGGAGGAACACCGGUGGCGAAGGCGGCAUCCUGGACCAACACUGACACUGAGGAGCGAAAGCCAGGGGAGCAAACGGG